ensembl:lncRNA
GGUAGACACCACCCUUUCACUUUGAUGGUGACAGACACUCGCUGAAUUCUCUCAGGCCAACUCCCCCCACCCCCCAACCACACACCUCACUCCCCGUAGAGGGGAACUGCAUUGGGAAUUAAGUCACUAUGCAGUAUUAAUCAGUUCCUCAACCUAUGGAUAGGUUUCCCUGAUGGCUCAGAGGGUAAAGCGUCUGCCUGCAAUGAAGGAGACCUGGGUUUGAUCCCUGGGUCAGAAAGAUCCCUGCGUCAGAAAGAUCCCCUGGAGAAGGAAAUGGCAACACACUCCAGUACUCUUGCCUGGAAAAUCCCAUGGACAGAGAAGCCUGGUAGACUACAGUCCAUGGGAUUGCAAAGAGCUGGACAUGGCUGAGCGACUUCACUUUCUUUCUUUCUUUCAACACAUGGAUUAGAUGUUUUAAAUGAGACUCAUCAAUCCAUCUCCAAUACUUUGGCCACCUGAUGAGAAGAGCUGACUCAUUGGAAAAGAUCCUGAUGCCAGGAAAGAUUGAAGGCAGGAGAAGGGGACGACAGAAGAUGAGAUGGUUGGCUGGCAUCACCGACUCGAUGGACAUGAGUUUGAGCAAGCUCCAGGAGUUAAUGAUGGACAGGGAGGUCUGGUGUGCUGCAGUCCAUGGGGUCACAAAGAGUCGGACAUGACUGAGGGGCUGAACAACAACAACAUCAAUCCAUCAAUCUCUAGUCCCACGCUGUGUCUCAUCGGUACUUUUCCCGGUCUCCCUGAGCGGGUGGCUGGUCCAGCCCAGUCUCCUCCAUGGAGAUGCCAGCCUGAAGCCGUCUUUGCUCUCUGCUCAGUCUCUCUCCUGGAUGUGUGCGUGGUAGGUUGCUUCGGUCAUGUCCAACUCUUCUCGACCCCAUGGACUGCAGCCCACCAGGCUCCUCUGUCCAUGGCAAUUCUCCAGGCGAGAAUACUGGAGUGGGUUGCCGUGCCCUCCUCCAGGGGAUCUUCCCGAUUCAGGGAUUAAACCUGUGUCUCUUGUGUCUCCUGCUCCGCAGGCGGGUUCUUCACCACUAGCUCCGCCCAUGUCUUCCUGCAGCUGGUUUCACUCUCUCCUCCUGUGCAGCAGGUCCUCCAGGAGGUCCUGGCUGGGGACUCGGGGGCUGUGCGCUUCCUAAGCGAUACAGGGCCCCGUCUGUCCCUGUCUCUGGGUGGCGGCCGGUCGGGCUGUGGAAUCUGGGUGCAAGUGAACUUUCUUGGCCAUGGAUGCUCCACCCUCUCCCAGCCUCCAGGACGCAGCAGAGAAGGUUGAAUACGUUCUGCGUCCUGAUCUUCUGUGGCCUGUUUCUGCUCCCCUCCCCAAGGAAACCUUACUUCCCGCGCAGGGAAGCUGCACUGGGCUGCAUUCAGUGGCUCCGCUCUGCGCCCGUGCAAGGUCCUUGGAGGCUCCGGGAGCUGGAUGGAAGGUCUUCACUCUGGGACAGAAGUCUGCCUCCCUCCCUGGCUCACCCCGGCUUGUGCUCUGGGGCUGCUCCCCCAGCGCUCUUGUCUCACGUCCUGCCCAUCUUCUCUCUGAAUCCUUGCUCUCCCUCACCCCCGUGUCCUCAUCAUUAGCUUCUCCGUCCUCCACCGUCAGCUAAUUAGUGUGCAGCAAUUUUUCCUUUUUGCUGAAUGCUCACUUUUAUGGGGCCAUGCUCUUAUUUUUGUGAAUGCAUUAUCUUUCCUCAUCUCUUUGAGCCUCUCUCUCUAUUUCUCCGGGAGUUUCCCCCCCGUCUCUGUUUAUUCCCAGUUCUCUUUUCCCGUUUGAGUCUGCAUUUCUGUCUUUUGUGUUGGAUGCCUUCUCGAUGUUGGUGACCCAGGGUGCGUCGCCGUCCAUCGUAUGUGGGUCAGGUUCUGUGAGCUGCACCCACACUCACUGCCACCCAGGGCGGAGCCUGGCGCAGCAGGCUGUCUGCUCCUGGUGCUGCCCUCCCCCCACUGGCAGAGUCCGAGCAGGGGGUGCUCGUGACGGCGUUGUCUGUGACUCU